AAUUUGGGUAACAGGACAGAGAGUUUAGAUUCACCUCAAAGUUACAAUAAGAUCAAAUAUACAUAAAAAUAUUCCAGUUCGGCAGAAUAUGCCUUAAGAUUAUAUCAUUUUAUUGAGACCUAUUAAUUUAACUAUUUUUUUCCCUCAGGACCUACUGUUCAGUCAGUCAGGUGUGAUAGCUAAUCGUUAGCUUAGCACAAUUUCAGCCUGAGGUUCACAGGUCUGACAGGAAUCUGUGUUUUUUAGGUAGCUGAAGUAAAGCUGUGUAAGAAUGAGAACAUUAAUGCUUCAGAGGUGAAAGGACACCUCACCUACUGUGCCUCCCGUGCUUUUCCUGGGGUGAGAAAGUGGACUUGUGUAGCAGUGGAUGUGCAGAUGCAUGACGUGGAUGUGCAACAUCGUUUAAAGGGAAAAUACAACAUUAGUUUUGUGCUCUGGGGUCUGGUAUAUACCAUAAAAUAAUCCAUGUACCGUCAAAAAAAAAAGAAUUGUGCAUGAAUGAUAGUAACAGACCACUUUUUUGGCAUUUUGCUGCAAGAAACUAUUUUUCUUAUAUUUCUUGCUUACUUUUAUUAUGUAGCUGUUUAUGCCAAAAAAAUCUGGUUCAUGCAGACAGUUCUUUUACAAUAGUACCAGUUAAACCUGAACUAUAAGAGCAAUCUUCAGUUUGAUUAUUAAUAGUAUUAAUAACUUAAUUCUUGUGCAGGUUUUUGGCUUGGCUCAUGUGUGUGUUUCAGGAUCCCUACGUGCAUCAGUUCUUUUCCAGUGUUGGGCUGAGUGGGCUGUGUGGAAGCAGCACCUGCAGUGGAUCAUCAACCAAAGCAAUGGUCUCCUUGAAAAUGUUGCUGCUGUACUCAGGUUCUCUUUUCUGGCUGUUGAUUGUUUUCUGAUACGGGUACUCGGAUCCUAAAGGAUCGGACGGAUCGAUGUGCCAGCUGCGUCUUUUUCUAUGGUUUGUGCGUUUUUUGUGUCUUUUAAUGGAGAUGAAGCUAGAGAGCUCUGAUGAAUCAAGUGUGUGAACGCUGGCGUUCUUCUGAUUGAGAAUGAUCAUCACAUCUCCAGUGCAGGACUGAAACACACGGUAAUGUUUAUGUCUAUUGAUGCGAUGAAACCAGCAGUCCUCAUUGCUGUCAUCCUCCUGAGGAUGAACAUACAGACACAGUCACAUUAAGCACUUCUAUAGUACAUGUGUAAACAGUAUAGAUAUAUAUGUGUGUAUGAAUAAAAGUUAAAUUAGUUUUUAGUCUGCUGUUAAU
rnacentral:lncRNA from 1 species